rnacentral:piRNA from 1 species
UACAAUGCAGAUGAUGGACUCGCCAAU